UUAACAUUUAAACUUAGACCACAUUAUUAUAUAUGUCAACAGUAGUAACAAUAAACUCAAAGUUAUUGGUAUAAUUACUCACAGACAUAAAGAAAUUGUGUGUGAGCUGUUGUCUUAAUGUGGGAAAACAAGCUCUGUAUCUCAAUGUUCAUACUAUCCAUCAGAUAUGUUUAGAAUAAGUGUGUCCCAAAGCAUAGUAUGAUAAAGAGUAUGCCCAAAGUCCCCGGAUGGUCUACUAUUUCAGGUCGAUUUUUUAAGUUCAAACAGUUGAAUGCACUUGUUUUUCCAGUCAUUAAUCAUCUCUAAAUUAAUGCACUGCCUUCACUUAAACACAAAUAGACAAACAUCAGAUUUCAUUGAUUUGAUGUGUUUUAAUACUGAUAUCUCUUUGGAUUUUUUAAAGAAAGUUUAAUUAUCAUGUCUCAUGCACUCACAAGCUUGUUUCUGCUUCUCUCUGCAGAUAUGUGAGUUGUUCAUAUCAAGGCAAAGUUAAAAGGGUAGACCGAAAGAAAGGAUUGAAGAUAGGAGAGAAUUACAGAUGACUACCAGGCAAAAGAGUUCAUACACUACAUAGCAGAGGAUGAGAGAAAAAAGAUGAGGGCCAGAUUAUCAGAUGUCAAGUUCAUCUCAGUCAUGUCAGAUGAUCUCUGGACAGUGUAGUGAUGGAAGAAGAAAUGCUCUACGUCACAAGUGCCACUGAGGACAAGGUCAAAGCUGAUUUAGAUUCAAAGCCAGAUGCUGCAAAUCUAGCUGAAGCAGUGUGUAGUAUAAUGGGAAGUGGAGUCAGCACUCAAUGGAAAAAGAAGCAAGUGGCAAUCACCAUAGAUGGAGCAUCUGUAAUGACAGGGGUAAACAACGGUGAACUUACAAAACUUGGAGGAGCACUGCUAGAUUUAGUGAUGUGAACAGUGGUGUCCUGCAGGAGAUGCGGCUGACCAGUUUCCAGUGCUGGCCAGAGACAGACACCAGUUCAGGUUAGCAAUUCACAUGUAAAGACCAAAUCUUCAUCAGUCACUUCCGACCUCUUUUACUGUCUGCUGGAGUGAAUGUGGAGUUGAUCCCUGAUCAAUGGACAGUUCUCAAGACUGAACUUCACACAGCAGGAGCCUGCUGCAGGAACCUUUGAGAAGACCUGGUCUACUGUGAACAGAUUACUGCACCAUCAUGUCCUGAUGUCCUUGAUGUUUCUGAUGCUCUCCUCACAAUCCCUGCAACUACAGCUGACUGUGAAAGAGGGUUCAGUGUUAUGAAGCAGGUAAAGAGUGACUGGGGCUCACACCUAAAAGAUGAGACCCUCUCUGACCUCCUUAAACCCAGUUGUGCUCACCUGACAUCAAAGACUUUGAUCCAACCACAGUCAUUGACAUCUGGCACGCUGAGAGUUUGUGCUCAUGCAGGCCUGACUUUCUGCACAAACACCGAACAAAAGGAACAGAGGGUGGCUCAGAUUCUGAUGACACCUCUGAAGAAGAAGAAGAAGAGCUCUGAAGACAUGAUUCAAAUGAUAUAUGAAGUGUUUGCACUUUCUGUGCAUAUUUUGUUGUAUGCAUUGUACUUUAUAUGUGUUUUCCAUGCCAACAAUGUUAAUAAAAUGAUCAAAUGCAUUCAGUGGCACUUAUAAUUUAUCUUAUUUUCACGGAGAAAUAAAAAUGGCUAGUGGAAAUUCUGAUUGGCUGGUAACUUUAGAAAACAAUUUUAAUUUCGAACCCUGGUUAG